rnacentral:rRNA from 1 species
AACGAACGCUGGCGGCGUGCCUAACACAUGCAAGUCGAACGAGAAAGUUUCUUCGGAAAUAAGUAAAGGUGGCGCACGGGUGAGUAACACGUGAAUAAUCUGCCUUCGAGAUUGGGAUAACUUGACGAAAGUUAAGCUAAUACCAGAUAAGACCACACUUCAUAAGGAGUGCGGAAAAAGGGGUCUCAAACCCUGCUUGAAGAUGAGUUCGCGUACCAUUAGCUUGUUGGUGAGAUAAAAGCUCACCAAGGCUACGAUGGUUAGCCGGCCUGAGAGGGUGAUCGGCCACACUGGAACUGAGACACGGUCCAG